AAACUAAUGUGUGGGUGCACCUCCUGCCGCAAACUGCUCUCGAAUCCUAAUUCGAUGACUCAGUGACUCUUAAAUGCUGCCGAUUAAGCCUUCGCCCCCUGUCCCACUUUUUAAACUUAUGACCUAUACUGGUCUGGUAAAAAAAAAAAAAUAGGGUUAGGGAAACAUUUUAAGAAUUAAAUAGGAUUAAGAACACCUGGAGUGUGGGCGAUGUUGAGCUAUUGUUUUGUUUUAGACCUUGGCGAAUAUUGAACUCGUCCUCAUUAAGAACAGAACAAUUAGGAAUUUUGAAUGCUAGUGUCUGGCUUUCGUCUGUGAUAAAGCACCGUUUACAUUGCCGAACGCGUUGGUGACUUUGUCAGUUUCAUCUAGAGCAUUCCGCGACUUUAAGUUUUUUGCUUAUUUGGGCUGUCCUUAUGUUUUCCAAACGAAGCACUGUGCCUUUUAAAUAUAGCAGCCGCUUGGAGGAAGAAUGGUGCUGUAAGAUUUUCCUGUUGAGAAGGGAGUUAAUUUGAGGCAGAAUAUUGGCGUCCGUUUUCUUGUGAUUGAGUUCAAGUUUUGUUUGUUUCUGGAGGGUUAUGAAGAGUUAAAUGAGGAUGCAUUCCUUUAAAUAAAGUACAUUCCUCAAGUCAGACCUCUUCGAGAAGGCUUUAAGGGCCAGUGCCGAAGCCCGCUUAGCAUAAAAUAGCUAGAAAAAUACCAGGCAGCGUCCCCCCCUCUUUGAAAAGCACACACUGAGGGAGAGGGCGUGGAAGGAGGUGGAUUGCUGCAGUCAGUGCAGUCUAGAAGCAGAAGUGGCCGCCAUGUUCUCUCUUUUUUGUGAAUCGCCCUCAUUUGCAUAGCACACUUCAUUCAUAAAAAAAAUAAUUAAACAUCCAUCACCUUGGACAACUUGAAAGGGUUUCCUAAGAAAAACAUUCGAAGCUUGUUUGUCUUUAUGUAGAUUUUUGAGUUCGGGAAGUGAGGAGAAUUAGAAGUUUUAGAUUAAAUUUUAGAACAUACGCACACACAAACAACUACCCCAGUUCUCAGAAUGUUGACACAGUUAUGUGGGAAAUAUCAGUUCGGGGAGGUGCUGGGAUCACGUGAUCGCCUCCAUUCAUAAAAUACCUGGCUGUCCAUUCACAGUGCAGUACACUGUCACUGCCUUCCGCAGACUAGACCUAUUUUGAGCUAGAUCUAGAAGCCUGUCUCAGAUGGUGCUGGGUUAGGAGAAAAACUGCGGAAAUGCUGAAGGGAUUGUCGGGGACUUUAAUUAGUAUCUUGGAGGAAAGCAGCUGGGAUAAAAUCUUACCUAUUUUAGAGAUGGGGAAAGAUUUCUUACCAGUUUAAUAGUUUAGAAAGUAUUAUUUCCUUGAUGCGGCUGAGGAACAAAUGAUGGGGUGUGUACUAAUGCAGACAUAUGAUAGAUUGUUUCAAAACGGGCCUUUUUUUUUGGUAUUAUGGCAAAUUGAAAGUGCAAGUAAGUGUGAGAGAGAUCUCAGUGGAUGGAACCUUUGUUGCACUAAAUGAAACAAAAAUAUUUCCGAUGUUUUUAACCCUCAAGGUAUUGAUGCUUUGAAACAGAACACUUUGGAAAUAAUUCAUCCAGAUUUUUAAAAUUGUUUUCACAAAUAUAUCCUGCCUUAUUAAUACAUUGUUCCCCAGGAAAGGAGUCGUCUAUGUUAGGAUGUAUUAUCCUCUGAAAGGUUCUUCCUAGGGCAUUUUUUUUUUUUUAAUUAACGUUAGAAAAUGGUUGUGUUCACCUGGUAGUCAUUGCUGCUAGAGCUUACAUUGUUUACUUGUGCCUUAGCUCAACCACAAAGUGGAUUUCUUAGAAUGUCAAUUUUAAUCUGGUCAUUUGUAGAUCUCAUCUUUAUCGUAGGAGGUGAAGUUUUGAAAAUGGAAAUUCAAAAAUUACUUAAAAUCAUACGUUAUGAAGGAGUGAAAGAUACAGUAGGGCACUCAUGGUUCUAGGUAUAGUUUAAAAUGGCCUUGUAUUAUUUUUUCCCUUUUUCAAAGGGAUUUAAUUACAGUAGAAAUUGUUCUUAGCAUUUUAUUGCUUCAUUUUUCUUUGUUUUUAGCCUUUUAAAGAAGGCGAAAAAUUACUAAUUUCUUGAAGACUGUUAACUUUUAAAAAUUAAUGGAUAGCUGUUGUACUGAAAUAUAAUAAGGCCUUUUAGAAUACUCAUUCUGAAAACCAUUUGAAUUUAGAUUUUUUUUUAGUAGAGAAAUAGCUAACUGAGGUGAUUGUAUAUCUAAUCAAGAAUUAGUAGAUGUAUUAUCUAAAAGGCUUUGUUUUAACAGUGACAAAUGAGGAAAUGAAUGAGAAUAGGAUGAAGCACCCACACUUUCAAAUUCAUGUUUAAAAAAUAAAAUAUUUCAGCAGGUAAGAUGGCUCAACUGUUAAAGGCACUUUGUACCAUCUAGCCUGAUGAACUGAGUUCCAUUUCUGGGACUUAUACUGUAGAACCUGCUCCCACAAGUUGUCCUCAACACAGUCACAAUAAUAGUUAUGCACGAGUGCGAGCUGUGGUGAUGACCAGAGAUGACUCAAGUGGUGGAUGGCUUCCACUCGGAGGGAGCGGACUGAGCAGCGUCACGGUCUUCAGAGUCCCUCAUCAGGAAGAGAAUGGCUGUGCGGACUUUUUUAUCCGUGGAGAGAGACUCAGGGACAAAAUGGUAAUGAAUAAUAUAUAAUUAUCACUGUAAUUUUAGGAUCCUUUCAGAAGAAAUGAAUUGUCUGUUUAAAGUUCUAACUGGUAUAUCAUUUAUGUGAGAGUUAAUUUUGCCUGUGAUUCAGUGAUUAUUUCUUGGGAGUCUUUUAUGUUCAUGUUAAAGACAGCAAUAUGCGACUGUGUCUGGCUGGAUCUGACAGUAAUGUACACGUAUUGCAUGGGGCUGCUGCUUUACUGUUUAGAUUAACUCCAGAAUGUUCAUGAAUAGCUCUGCACCUUCCCUACUUUCUCCUUGUUCCUUAGGCCAGAUAUCAGCAACUCCUAGUCUGAAGGACAGAUACAGGCAUGCCACCUGUUCUUUUUACUUGUUUUUAUUCAGACCAUAAGCUAAUUUUUUUGGGGGGGGUAUUGUUUGUUUUAAACAUUUUCAAUGUGUUGAUGAAAGCUGAUCAUGGUGGCUCAUGCCUGUAACCUCAUUUGUUAGAAGGCUGAGGCAGGAUUAUGAUGAGUUGGGGUCAGCCUGGAGGAAUACAUAGUUCUGUGCUACCCUGAACUACACAGAUUGACUUUAUCUCAAAAAGCAAGGGUUAGUAAAGUCAAGGAAUCAUAAUUUUGUGACAUAAAAUUAUGUGAAAUCAAAUUCUCAUGUCUAUAAAUAAAUAAUUAAAACUUUUA